ACGGUCCUAAGGUAGCGAAAUUCCUUGUCGGGUAAGUUCCGACCCGCACGAAAGGUGUAACGAUUUGGGCACUGUCUCAACGAGGGACCCGGUGAAAUUGAAAUACCUGUGAAGAUGCAGGUUACCCGCGACUGGACAGAAAGACCCCAUGGAGCUUUACUGUAACCUGACAUUGGGUUUUGAUACAUUACGUACAGGAUAGGUGGGAGGCUUGGAAAGCUGGACGCUAGUCUGGCUGGAGCCGACGUUGGGAUACCACCCUUGAUGUAUUGAAAUUCUAACCGCGAGAGUAACGAAAUCCGGGACAGUGUCAGGCGGGCAGUUUGACUGGGGCGGUCGCCUCCGAAAGAGUAACGGAGGCGCCCAAAGGUUCCCUCAGCGCGGCCGGAAAUCGCGCGAAGAGUGUAAAGGCAGAAGGGAGCUUGACUGCGAGUCAAACACGACGAGCAGGUACGAAAGUAGGGCUUAGUGAUCCGGUGGUACCGAGUGGAAGGGCCAUCGCUCAACGGAUAAAAGCUACCCUGGGGAUAACAGGCUAAUCUCUCCCAAGAGUCCAUAUCGACGGGGAGGUUUGGCACCUCGAUGUCGGCUCAUCACAUCCUGGGGCUGAAGUCGGUCCCAAGGGUUGGGCUGUUCGCCCAUUAAAGUGGUACGUGAGCUGGGUUCAGAACGUCGUGAGACAGUUCGGUCCCUAUCCAUCGCGGGCGCAAGAGAUUUGAAGGGGGCUGCUCCUAGUACGAGAGGACCGGAGUGGACGAACCGCUGGUGUACCAAUUAUCCCGCCAGGGGUACAGUUGGGUAGCUACGUUCGGAAAGGAUAAACGCUGAAAGCAUCUAAGCGUGAAACCAGCCUUAAGAUGAGAUCUCUCAUAGAGCAAUCUAGUAAGACACCUUAAAGAAGAUGAGGUUGAUAGGUCGGGAGUGUAAGUACAGCAAUGUAUUGAGCGGACCGAUACUAAUAUGUCGAGGGCUUGACUUA
rnacentral:rRNA from 1 species